rnacentral:rRNA from 1 species
GGAACCCGAAAGCCUGUCUCAGUUCGGAUUGGAGUCUGCAACCCGACUCCAUGAAGCUGGAUUCGCUAGUAAUCGCGCAUCAGCCACGGCGCGGUGAAUACGUUCCCGGGCCUUGUACACACCGCCCGUCAAGCCAUGGAAGCCGGGGGUGCCUGAAGUGUGCUGCCGCAAGGAGCGCCCUAGGGUAAAACCGGUGACUGGGGCUAAGUCGUAACAAGGUAGC